UACAGAGGUCCCAAGCGUUGUUCGGAUUCAUUGGGCGUAAAGGGUGCGUAGGCGGCGCGGUAAGUCGGGUGUGAAAUCUCGGAGCUUAACUCCGAAACUGCAUUCGAUACUGCCGUGCUUGAGGACUGGAGAGGAGACUGGAAUUUACGGUGUAGCGGUGAAAUGCGUAGAUAUCGUAAGGAAGACCAGUGGCGAAGGCGGGUCUCUGGACAGUUCCUGACGCUGAGGCGCGAAGGUCAGGGGAGCAAACGGG
rnacentral:rRNA from 1 species